CCUAACUCUCACAAAAAUUGAUCAAUUGAAGGAUCAAAUCAAGUCCAAAACGAAAAUCGAGCAUAGAUUAAUGAUCCCCAUUGUAAGGAGAUCAUAAGCUUGACACCUAACGAGCUAGAUGGAAGCUUGUGGAUGAAGCGGGUCAAACGGAGCAAGUACGGAAAGAAAAGCGAGGCAUGGAUGCAAGGAUAAAGUAGCUUAUGAAUUAGCGUUGCUAUGAAUUAGCAAAUUUUCGAGACAAGGUAUUAAAACGGGUCAAUGUAUUGAUCCGAGCCA